UACGGAGGGUGCAAGCGUUAUCCGGAUUCACUGGGUUUAAAGGGUGCGUAGGUGGGCAGUUAAGUCAGUGGUGAAAUCUCCGGGCUUAACCCGGAAACUGCCAUUGAUACUAUCUGUCUUGAAUACCGUGGAGGUGAGCGGAAUAUGUCAUGUAGCGGUGAAAUGCUUAGAUAUGACAUAGAGCACCAAUUGCGAAGGCAGCUCACUACACGAAUAUUGACACUGAGGCACGAAAGCGUGGGGAUCAAACAGG
rnacentral:rRNA from 1 species